rnacentral:rRNA from 1 species
AUUGAACGCUGGCGGCAUGCUUUACACAUGCAAGUCGAACGGCAGCGCGGUCUUCGCCCUCGCUUCGGGUUGCCGACGGGUGAGUGGUGCAUCGGAACGUGCCCAUUUAUGUUUGAUAGCCCGGCGACGUCCGGAUUAAUACCGCAUACCACCAUAGGGUGUACGGGGGGGACCGAGAGGCCUUGCGCUCUUGGAGCGGCCGAUGUCGGAUUAGCUAGUUGGUGGGGUAAAGGCUUACCAAGGCGACGAUCCGUAGCUGGUCUGAGAGGACGAGCAGCCACACUGGAACUGAGACACGGUCCAGACUCCUACGGGAGGCAGCAGUGGGGAAUUUUGGACAAUGGGCGCAAGCCUGAUCCAGCCAUGCCGCGUGAGGGAAGAAGGCCUUCGGGUUGUAAAGCGCUUUUGUUGGGGAAGAAAACCUGUGGGCUAAUACCCCGGGGGGCUGACGGUACCGGAAGAAUAAGCACCGGCUAACUACGUG